GUGCAGGAUUAGAGGUCAUUUUCCAGGAUGGGACUUAUACUGCCCAACAAAACAUGUCCAAGGGAGGUUAGACUUUGUGGGAGUCCCAGCUCUUUAGCAGUCUGUGAAAUGGUUCCUGCAGCGCAACCAGGGACCUCUGAUCUAGAGACAGCAAAGGGCAGAGGACCUGCUGAAGGAUGCAUGAAACCUAAACCUGCCUUCUCAGCACAUCUGCAUGGCCAGAUAGAAAGCCUGGACCAGGGAGGUUGGACAAGCUGCAGGCAGACCUGGGAGGCCGUGUUUCCUUUUCAUCCAUCAGAAAACUACUUGCUAACAACUGCCCACAUCCUGGGGCUUAAGUUACCCUUCCCAUCUCCAUUAAAAAUAUAAUCAAAAACACCUCUUCCUAUGCAGAAUUCAAUUAUGAGACAAAAGAAGAAAAGUUCCCACUCUGAAACAAUGCCUAUCUUGUCUUGAUGGAUUUCUCUGCAAUGUUCGCUCUGUACAGUUUUCACGGAACUGGGAAAGCGACCCUCUAUCGUGCUUCACCAAGUCUAUGAACACACAUUCUACUGGCCUGCUGCGUUCAGUUUGCUGGCUAAAGGAUAUUGGAGGAGGAUGGUGGAGAAACAGAAGAAUGAACCGUGAAGCUUUCCUGCUUUCCUUAUUGGCUCUUACAGGAUAUGAGUUGAAGCCAUAGGCACACAGUGCCGGACUGAGCAGGCACCUUAGAGGCCAUGAUAAUAUAUGGGCUCUCCAAGACCAAGAGAUGGCUCCUGCAUCACCCUUCUACUCCGUGUUUCCAGACACCAGGGAUGCACUCAGACUACAAAGACUACUAGCGCCGUGGUCCCAGACACUAACAGGAAAGCUGGGACCAGGCAGGUUAGCAAAGAAGAGGAAGUGAAGCCAGGGUGUGUCUGCAGCUAGCUCUAGGCAGCUUUGGAGUCCAUCUUCAAAACACGCCUGAAGUUAGAGCUCCUGUCACGUGCUUUCUGCCCGGCGGCCCUGCAGAUGCUGAAUCAACCACACGCCGCUCCGCAGCUACCUCACCUCGCCUCUCACACAUUCCUGCUGUCUGGCAGAGCUAACCUCUGCUGAACAAGAAACGCUGCCGAAAAGCAGAGUUCCCAUGGUCCUCUUGGGGGCGCUGGCACGCGCUGUCCUUCCGGCACACAAACAGGCCAUCCUCGCUGUUCAGGAGCUGUGUCUGCAGGAAGCUGAAGCAGGAGUCCUCCAGAUUGUGCAUGCGCAGGAACUCGGCACAGCGGAUGACCUCGCGGAUGUUCUCUCUGCUGAGUAACAGCUUGGCCGUGUAGGCAAACUGGAGCAGUGGCCCAAAGCCCCUGGCCGUGACCUGCAAAACAAACAGGGAAAUCGCCAGCGUUACCAUCAGCACGGCUAUUGUCCUGGAUUUCUCAACCAAAGCAAGAUAACCAGACAGUGCUAAUGCCCUGGAAUAAAAACUGCAAAGGAGCAGUUAAUCUCGUCCUGGGUCAGCAAUGCUUCUGCGUCCAAUAAUUAGUGCCUGUCCCGUGCCUGCCACCUCUGUACUUCACGGCACGAGCAGAACAGAGUCACCAGGGUCAAGUGGCGAAGUAAGAUGACAAAGGGCUCACUGUUUACACUGAUGAAAUGUCCUGGUGAAAACGCACAGAACAAUGGGAAGCCUAUUCAUUUCUGUCCCCGUCAGUCCUGUCGAGAGCCAGUGUACACAAGAGGGGGAGCUGUGACUCUUCUUGAAGCCAAGGAAAGCAUUAACAUUGUCUUGU